GUGAGGAAUUUUCCGCAAUGGGCGAAAGCCUGACGGAGCAAUGCCGCGUGAAGGAUGAAGGCCUAUGGGUUGUAAACUUCUUUUCUCAGAAAAGAAUUAUGACGGUAUCUGAGGAAUAAGCAUCGGCUAACUCUGUGCCAGCAGCCGCGGUAAGACAGAGGAUGCAAGCGUUAUCCGGAAUGAUUGGGCGUAAAGCGUCUGUAGGUUGUUUAAAAAGUAUUCUGUCAAAGAUUAGGGCUUAACCCUAGAUAGGCAGAAUAAACUUUUAAGCUAGAGUUUGGUAGAGGCAGAGUGAAUUCCCGGUGGAGCGGUGAAAUGCGUAUAUAUCGGGAGGAACACCAAAGGCGAAGGCACUCUGCUGGGCCAAUACUAACACUGAGAGACGAAAGCGAGGGGAGCAAAUGGGAUUAGAAACCCGUGUAGUCC
rnacentral:rRNA from 1 species